rnacentral:pre_miRNA from 1 species
ACAUCUAGUUAGUCAUACCGAUAGGCGAGAGAGAUUUGCUACUGCAAUUGUUGUUUUACCCGCUCCUCCCAUCCCAUGGAUCCCUACCAUGUGGACUCCAUCAUCAUCAGAUCCAAUCUUGUGAUAAUAGAGUCACAUGGUCGGUAUCCCUGGAAUGGAGGAUCAGGUAAAACAACUUUUGCUUUAGAAAUGAUUCAUUUCUCAUCACCUUCAUCAGGUUUAUGAUUUCUGUCUGU